GGCGGCGUGCCUAAUACAUGCAAGUAGAACGCUGAAGAGAGGAGCUUGCUCUUCUUGGAUGAGUUGCGAACGGGUGAGUAACGCGUAGGUAACCUGCCUUGUAGCGGGGGAUAACUAUUGGAAACGAUAGCUAAUACCGCAUAACAAUGGAUGACACAUGUCAUUUAUUUGAAAGGGGCAAUUGCUCCACUACAAGAUGGACCUGCGUUGUAUUAGCUAGUAGGUGAGGUAACGGCUCACCUAGGCGACGAUACAUAGCCGACCUGAGAGGGUGAUCGGCCACACUGGGACUGAGACACGGCCCAGACUCCUACGGGAGGCAGCAGUAGGGAAUCUUCGGCAAUGGGGGCAACCCUGACCGAGCAACGCCGCGUGAGUGAAGAAGGUUUUCGGAUCGUAAAGCUCUGUUGUAAGUCAAGAACGAGUGUGAGAGUGGAAAGUUCACACUGUGACGGUAGCUUACCAGAAAGGGACGGCUAACUACGUGCCAGCAGCCGCGGUAAUACGUAGGUCCCGAGCGUUGUCCGGAUUUAUUGGGCGUAAAGCGAGCGCAGGCGGUUUGAUAAGUCUGAAGUUAAAGGCUGUGGCUCAACCAUAGUUCGCUUUGGAAACUGUCAAACUUGAGUGCAGAAGGGGAGAGUGGAAUUCCAUGUGUAGCGGUGAAAUGCGUAGAUAUAUGGAGGAACACCGGUGGCGAAAGCGGCUCUCUGGUCUGUAACUGACGCUGAGGCUCGAAAGCGUGGGGAGCGAACAGGAUUAGAUACCCUGGUAGUCCACGCCGUAAACGAUGAGUGCUAGGUGUUGGAUCCUUUCCGGGAUUCAGUGCCGCAGCUAACGCAUUAAGCACUCCGCCUGGGGAGUACGACCGCAAGGUUGAAACUCAAAGGAAUUGACGGGGGCCCGCACAAGCGGUGGAGCAUGUGGUUUAAUUCGAAGCAACGCGAAGAACCUUACCAGGUCUUGACAUCCCGAUGCUAUUUCUAGAGAUAGAAAGUUACUUCGGUACAUCGGUGACAGGUGGUGCAUGGUUGUCGUCAGCUCGUGUCGUGAGAUGUUGGGUUAAGUCCCGCAACGAGCGCAACCCCUAUUGUUAGUUGCCAUCAUUCAGUUGGGCACUCUAGCGAGACUGCCGGUAAUAAACCGGAGGAAGGUGGGGAUGACGUCAAAUCAUCAUGCCCCUUAUGACCUGGGCUACACACGUGCUACAAUGGUUGGUACAACGAGUUGCGAGUCGGUGACGGCAAGCUAAUCUCUUAAAGCCAAUCUCAGUUCGGAUUGUAGGCUGCAACUCGCCUACAUGAAGUCGGAAUCGCUAGUAAUCGCGGAUCAGCACGCCGCGGUGAAUACGUUCCCGGGCCUUGUACACACCGCCCGUCACACCACGAGAGUUUGUAACACCCGAAGUCGGUGAGGUAACCUUUUGGAGCCAGCCGCCUAA
rnacentral:rRNA from 1 species